AAAAAAACAGAAAAAAAGGAAGCUAA
rnacentral:sRNA from 1 species